rnacentral:lncRNA from 1 species
AUGAAAACGAACAGGGAGAAAGUAAUUGGAAGUCAAGUAAUUUCAGCCGAACUUGUGGCUGGACUACUGCUCAGCAUGGCGUAUAGGAUGUGUUCCAGUUUGGCUUUUUCCUUAAAGGGGGAAAGCGUCAGUGACGCAAGCGCGCAGUUUGAAGUAACGCGCUCACUCGUGUGUGUGUGGGUUGCCAGUAAUAUUAAGUUCAUUUUCUUCAAAAGCAAUAAACAUCCACUUUCUCUGUCUGCUCAUUGCGUCUCGAGGCUUGUUGCCUUCCUGUCACUGUUGGGAGUCUGCAGAGAGGCACAUAUUCAAGGAACAGACUCCAGACAUCUUCCCAUGGUGGAUGUGGCGGUGUUCUUGUUCUUUCUUCUCAGCAGUUUGAUUCUUUUGAUCUUGGAUCACAAUCAGUUGAAAGGCUCUUUGAAACGAUCUGAACUGCUGCUCACUAAGCCCCAGAGGUUUUUCUUUCAAAUGGAUUUUUUUGCCAACUGCAUUUUUGGCCUCAUGUGGUUGGUUUUUCCAGGAUGGCUUCUUGGGUCACAGAUGAAUGGAUCUGAGGAUAAUCUUUAUCUCACUCGGGCAUUUGGAGCCAUGAUGGUUGGAGACAGCUUUGCUUCUUUUACCACACAGAAACAAAUGGGAACCAAUGAGGUAUCUGUCUUCAGCAGCCGGGCUGUGGGAACUUCGGCGGUUGUCAUCUUCAUGAUCCACACCCAGCUCACCACAUCGGCAUGGAAAAUCCCACAUCUCUGUUUGGGUCUAGUAGGGGUCAGUCUCUGGGCUGGAAACUCCAUCCUUGGCUACCUGAGCUCCAAAGACACGACGACAGAGUCAGUGAAUGAUUUAUACUGGCGUGCUGUACAGAGAAAAGACAGAAGACUUCAUGUACAAUAG